GACACAGGGAGGUAGUGACAAGAAAUAACAAUACGGGGCUUAAUGUCUUGUAAUUGGAAUGAUGGGAAUUUAAACCUCUUCCAGAGUAUCAAUUGGAGGGCAAGUCUGGUGCCAGCAGCCGCGGUAAUUCCAGCUCCAAUAGCGUAUAUUAAAAUUGUUGCAGUUAAAAAGCUCGUA
rnacentral:rRNA from 1 species